rnacentral:rRNA from 1 species
ACUCCUACGGGAGGCAGCAGUGGGGAAUAUUGCACAAUGGGGGAAACCCUGAUGCAGCCAUGCCGCGUGUGUGAAGAAGGCCUUCGGGUUGUAAAGCACUUUCAGUAGGGAGGAAGGUAGUGUAGUUAACACCUGCAUUAUUUGUACGUUACCUACAGAAGAAGCACCGGCUAACUCCGUGCCAGCAGCCGCGGUAAGUACGGGAGGGUGCGAGCGUUAAUCGGAAUUACGUGGGCGUAAAGCGCAUGCAGGCGGCCUGUUAAGUCAGAUGUGAAAGCCCGGGGUCUUAACCUCGGAAUUGCAUUUGAAACUGGCAGGCUAGAGUCUUGUAGAGGGGGUUAGAAUUUCGAGGUGUAGCGGUAGAAAUGCGUAGAGAUCGUGAAGGAAUACCGAGUGGCGAAGGCGG